CCUACGGGGGGCAGCAGUGCGGAAUAUUGGUCAAUGGGCGCGAGCCUGAACCAGCCAAGUAGCGUGAAGGAUGACUGCCCUACGGGUUGUAAACUUCUUUUAUAAAGGCAUAAAGUGAGGCACGUGUGCCUUUUUGUAUGUACUUUAUGUAUAAGGCUCGGCUAACUCCGUGCCAGCAGCCGCGGUAGUUAGGCGGAUCCGAGCGUUAUACGGAUUUAUUGGGGUUAAAGGGUGCGGAGGCGGAAUGCCCAGUCAGCGGUAAAAUCGCGGGGCUCAACCGCGCUCCGCAGUUGAAACUGGCGUUCUUGAGUGGGCGAGAAGUAUGCGGAAUGCGUGGUGUAGCGGUGAAAUGCAUAGAUAUCACGCAGAACUCCGAUGGCGAAGGCAGCAUACCGGCGCCCAACUGACGCUGAAGCACGAAAGCGUGGGUAUCGAACAGGAUUAGAUACCCCUGUAGUC
rnacentral:rRNA from 1 species